UGCCCAGCAACUCCUAUCCCUACCUCCUCACGGUACUGGCCGGGGUACGAGUAACCUUAGGGAAGAUCGGGUAACCAACCCCCGGUGGGAACUCUGGUCGUAUGCUGACAGGGAAGG
rnacentral:ribozyme from 1 species